GUCUACGGUCAUGUCACCCUGAAUGUGCCUGAUCUUGUCUGAUCCUGGAAGCUAAGCAAGAUUGGGCCUGGUUAGUACUUGGAUAGGAGACCACCUAGGAAUACCAGGUGCUGUAGGUA
rnacentral:rRNA from 1 species